rnacentral:rRNA from 1 species
GACGAACGCUGGCGGCGUGCCUAAUACAUGUAAGUCGAACGCAUUUUCUUUCACCGUAGCUUGCUACACCGAAAGAAAAUGAGUGGCGAACGGGUGAGUAACACGUGGGUAACCUGCCCAUCAGCGGGGGAUAACACUUGGAAACAGGUGCUAAUACCGCAUAAUUCCAUUUACCGCAUGGUAGAUGGGUGAAAGGCGCUUUUGCGUCACUGAUGGAUGGACCCGCGGUGCAUUAGCUAGUUGGUGGGGUAACGGCCUACCAAGGCUGCGAUGCAUAGCCGACCUGAGAGGGUGAUCGGCCACACUGGGACUGAGACACGGCCCAGACUCCUACGGGAGGCAGCAGUAGGGAAUCUUCGGCAAUGGACGCAAGUCUGACCGAGCAACGCCGCGUGAGUGAAGAAGGUUUUCGGAUCGUAAAACUCUGUUGUUAGAGAAGAACAAGGAUGAGAGUGGAAAGUUCAUCCCUUGACGGUAUCUAACCAGAAAGCCACGGCUAACUACGUG